rnacentral:rRNA from 1 species
GCCACUGCUAUUGGGGUUCGGCUAAGCCAUGCGAGUGGAGGGCGUCCCGCAAGGGAUGGCCCCGCAGACGGCUCAGUAACACGUCGUCAACCCACCUUAGGGUGGGGGACAACCUCGGGAAACUGAGGACAAUCCCCCAUAGGCGGGGGAGGCUAGAAUGCGCCCCCGCUGAAAGCUCAGGCGCCCUAGGACGGGACGGCGGCCUAUCAGGUAGUUGGUGGUGUGACG